rnacentral:rRNA from 1 species
UACAGAGGGGGCAAGCGUUAUUCGGAAUUAUUGGGCGUAAAGGGCGCGUAGGCGGCUUUUCAAGUGACGGGUGAAAGCCCUCGGCUUAACCGAGGAACUGCCUGUCAGACUGGAAGGCUUGAGACCGGGGAGAGGUGAGUGGAAUUCCCCAGUGUAGCGGUGAAAUGCGUAGAUAUUUGGGGAGGAAACACCAGUGGCGAAGGCGGCUCACUGGACCGGAACUGACGCUGAGGCGCGAAAAGCGUGGGGGAGCAAAACAGG